rnacentral:rRNA from 1 species
AGCGAACGCUGGCGGCAGGCUUAACACAUGCAAGUCGAGCGGGCCCUUCGGGGUCAGCGGCAGACGGGUGAGUAACACGUGGGAACGUGCCCUUCGGUUCGGAAUAACUCAGGGAAACUUGAGCUAAUACCGGAUACGCCCUUAUGGGGAAAGGUUUACUGCCGAAGGAUCGGCCCGCGUCUGAUUAGCUAGUUGGUGGGGUAAUGGCCCACCAAGGCGACGAUCAGUAGCUGGUCUGAGAGGAUGAUCAGCCACACUGGGACUGAGACACGGCCCAGACUCCUACGGGAGGCAGCAGUGGGGAAUAUUGGACAAUGGGCGCAAGCCUGAUCCAGCCAUGCCGCGUGUGUGAUGAAGG